AGAGUUUGAUUCUGGCUCAGGAUGAACGCUGGCGGCGUGCUUAACACAUGCAAGUCGAACGGACUUGGAUGUCGGAAGUUUUCGGAUGGAAGAUAUUCAAGUUAGUGGCGGACGGGUGAGUAACGCGUGGGUAACCUGCCUUCAAGAGGGGGAUAACAUUCUGAAAAGAAUGCUAAUACCGCAUGACAUAUCGGAACCACAUGGUUUUGAUAUCAAAGAUUUUAUCGCUUGAAGAUGGACUCGCGUCCGAUUAGUUAGUUGGUGAGGUAACGGCUCACCAAGACCGCGAUCGGUAGCCGGACUGAGAGGUUGAACGGCCACAUUGGGACUGAGACACGGCCCAGACUCCUACGGGAGGCAGCAGUGGGGGAUAUUGCGCAAUGGGGGCAACCCUGACGCAGCAACGCCGCGUGAAGGAUGAAGGUUUUCGGAUUGUAAACUUCUUUUAUUAAGGACGAAAAAUGACGGUACUUAAUGAAUAAGCUCCGGCUAACUACGUGCCAGCAGCCGCGGUAAUACGUAGGGAGCAAGCGUUGUCCGGAUUUACUGGGUGUAAAGGGUGCGUAGGCGGCUUUGCAAGUCAGAUGUGAAAUCUAUGGGCUCAACCCAUAAACUGCAUUUGAAACUGUAGAGCUUGAGUGAAGUAGAGGCAGGCGGAAUUCCCCGUGUAGCGGUGAAAUGCGUAGAGAUGGGGAGGAACACCAGUGGCGAAGGCGGCCUGCUGGGCUUUAACUGACGCUGAGGCACGAAAGCGUGGGUAGCAAACAGGAUUAGAUACCCUGGUAGUCCACGCUGUAAACGAUG
rnacentral:rRNA from 1 species